UCAAUAUCAGGGAACAAUAAAAUCUGAAAUGAUCAACAAUCGUUAUUGUUAGGAGGAUAAACUCGACAAGGGUUUGGCUGGGCUCUAUCCUACGUUAGAAGUGCGUUUGAUGUUUUAGUGAGUAAGUAAGAUCUUUGUUGUUUUUAGAGAGGGGUUAGAAAACACCAUGGGAAAUAUUUGCACCCUUUCUCUUUCUAUACUUUUAAGAAAACGUCAAAGAGUUUCAGUUUUGUCUUCCACUUUGAAUUCUUUCAGCAGUUUUUCAUCAGAUAAAAACAUGCUUUACCUAAAGGACUUCUGGACCUGAAACAGAAAUUAAGCUAAGUCAUAUUUUAAGACCUAACGUUUCCUUCAAAGCAGCAGCUCCAGAUUCAGCAAAAUUCUUUGUUCUUCUCUUUUCUCCUCCUAGUUCUGCUUUGGUUCAGUGUCUUGGGCGGGACUAGGACGGUUCCAGCACAUCGGGCAAAGAAUAGGCUGCAGGAGGGAAUGACUCUGUCAUUUCAACAUUUGUUAGCAGCAGGAAGGACAGUUCUUGAAAUCCACCACAGACUUUUCCACUAUAGUAGGACAGUGUGAGGUGAAAGCUGCUCAGUUCUUUGGUUAAAUCCAUAUCUUUCCAUCAACAGGUUUCCUGAAGAGAGGACCAGACACUCAGGAAUUCUCCCUCCUGCUUAGCUCCUCCUCAUGUUUCUGAAAGAGAGCGUGAUGCCAUGGGUGGGAAGUGUUCCGCAGAAGGAUCCAGACAGUCUGCAGGAUGGAGCUCAGGAGUUGUUAAACGUUGACCGAUGUGAGACAGGGAGGACUUUUGUUUUUCUAACCAGAUCUCCGUUUGCACAGGUUCUGGCUGCAAAACAGCGGCUUACACGUUGGAUCUUCAUCCUCAGCCUGUCCCACCGUGUGCACAGAGGAGCAGUUCUCUCACACAUGAGAAGAAAGAUCGAUUUGUCUUUGAGGAAAACUGCUGGAAGCAACAAUUGUGUGUUUUUGGCAGUAAUCAAACCUGCAGACCUUCCAUUCCUCACCCUCAGAAGACCAUCAUGAGCUGCCUUGACCUUCACAGAGAAGCAGAACUGCUCCUAAACUCUGUGAUUGUGAAGCUGAGCUGGCAGCUGUGACCAUGAAAGUGGGAUGGAAGAGAUUUCUGCAGGAAUAAAAUCCUGUUCUUUAACUGUACUUUAGAUGCUCUUUGUGUUUGGUUGUAGAGAAGCUGCUGAAAUGAGGAGCUAAGCUCAGCUCCACUGUUAAUUCCCAUAGAAUCAAAGAAAAGUGAAUACUAGACUCCUUCUUCUCUAGAAAAUGCUUAAAUGUUUGUGUUCUUCUAGCUUUCUGACUCCAAAUACAAACUUGAAUGUUUUUCAAAAUUGAAAUGUAAAAAAAGCAAGAAAGUCAAUCUUUCAAACCAAAAUCUGUACACUUCCAAGAUAUUUCAAAGUCAAGAGAAAUCAAAAAUGUAUAAAUAAAACAAAACUAAUUUGAAAUCCAAAUAUAUCAUAAACAAAUUUGUUGGAUCUAUUUUUCCCUAUUUUUUAUAUGCUUAAAAUCAAAAUCUGUGACAAAGCUUCAAAAGACAAGCCAGAGAAAUACCAACAGUUUGGCAGCUCCCAUCAUCCUAAAGAUGAUGACACUUCUCAUUUUCCAAAAUUCCUGAAAAUACUUGUCUCAUUGAUUAUUACUUUCUGUAAUAGGUGUCAUUUUUCUGUUCCUAGUGAAGCAAACACAAAAAGCAAUACUUAAAACAGGAAAUAGGACAGGGGUUGAACUGAUGCAUGAAUCAUAACUCAGUCCGAGGUUUCAGUUCAUUUUUUGUUGCUCUAUUUUAAGAGUGGGAUGAAAAAGAUCAAGUGAGGUAGUUCAAGUGAAGACAGAAUCAAUGCAUAGUAGAUGAGUUCAUGUCAGAGAUUAACAAAAGUGGGGGUGGAAUUUGAAAAUAGUAAAGAAAGUAACUUUCAAUCAGCUUUUUGGAUUACAUGGUAGUGCCAGGGUUGUACUGUAUAAUAUUUAUUAAACCAGAGACUGAUUUGUUAUUUUAUCAAAGGAUGAACAGGGAGAUGUUUGAGUUUUUUUCCAGGGGUCUGUUGAAGCUAGACUAAGCUAGGCUACUCUUUCAGUUUGGAUGAUAUUACACAGAGUAAGCACCACUCACCAUAACCUUUCAAGUCUGUUCCAGCUUUUCCCUGAUUUCUGGUAUUUUUGUUGUUGGUAUACUUUUUUUUCCUUAUCCUGCCUGCAUAAGUCAUUUGCUGGGUUGUUCUUGUUGCAUAGCCUACAAUUUAGAUCUUGACUUGUUUGGUGGAUUUAUUUGUCUGUCUGUCUGUAAAAAAUAAAUGUAUAUAAAAAAUAUAUAUAGCUACAAUAUAUA